ACCUGCAGGAUCGGGUCACCGCCUUGAUGUUAGCGGAGAACGACAGGGUGUUGUCCAGGGUCACGCCAAGGCUCUUACUUACUUUGAUUUCUACUUCUCAGGUGAGGGUGCUGUUUAGGUAAGGGUGAUGUCUGUUCAAAACAAAACAUGCUCUUUUAAGAUUCACCCAUAUAUACAUUUUUUAGAACAAUUAGACACCCUGUAACCCACACCUACACACUCGUGUAUCAAUCUGAUUGAUGGAUUGUGUUGUGCAGGCUCAAGUGUAUAACUGGCUCCUUUCACCUUCAAAGAAUAGGCAAGAGGACCAUCCAUGAAGAAUAGUAUGUUUUGAUGUGAGAGAGGAUGCCAACCCCCAGUCCCGUCAUCGCCACCUCACCCGCUCUUAAGAUAACCUUCGGGCCAACUGGGAGCCCAAGGCUGGUUAGGAGACACCGCGAGACACUUCUGUAAUUGUGACGAACUGAGAGAAUAUUAAGUUUAGUAGCACUGUAAUUCAAUAAUCAUACAUUGUCUUCCCUGCUCCUCUGUUCUUACCUAUUUACCUUUCUGUCUUUUACACUCUUAUACCUCUGUCCACCACCUCUUUCUUCCUCUGUUUUUAUAAUGCACACCAGAUGAGCAUUGAAGUACAGAUUUAACUUGUAUUUGUAAUAUAUUACAAUUAUAAUAUUUAUAAUGGAUGUAUUAUGUAUUUGUAACACUUGGAUAAUGAACUUCUUUCAAUAAAGUGUUUCACAUUCUCUA